rnacentral:rRNA from 1 species
AUUGAACGCUGGCGGCAGGCUUAACACAUGCAAGUCGAGCGGGGUGAUGGUGCUUGCACUAUCACUUAGCGGCGGACGGGUGAGUAAUGCUUAGGAAUCUGCCUAUUAGUGGGGGACAACAUCUCGAAAGGGAUGCUAAUACCGCAUACGUCCUACGGGAGAAAGCAGGGGAUCACUUGUGACCUUGCGCUAAUAGAUGAGCCUAAGUCGGAUUAGCUAGUUGGUGGGGUAAAGGCCUACCAAGGCGACGAUCUGUAGCGGGUCUGAGAGGAUGAUCCGCCACACUGGGACUGAGACACGGCCCAGACUCCUACGGGAGGCAGCAGUAGGGAAUAUUGGACAAUGGGGGGAACCCUGAUCCAGCCAUGCCGCGUGUGUGAAGAAGGCCUUAUGGUUGUAAAGCACUUUAAGCGAGGAGGAGGCUCUUUUGGUUAAUGCCCAAGAUGAGUGGACGUUACUCGCAGAAUAAGCACCGGCUAACUCUGUGCCAGCAGCCGCAGUAA